rnacentral:rRNA from 1 species
AUUGAACGCUGGCGGCGUGCUUAACACAUGCAAGUCGAACGGUAAGGCCCUUCGGGGUACACGAGUGGCGAACGGGUGAGUAACACGUGGGUGAUCUGCCCUGCACUUCGGGAUAAGCCUGGGAAACUGGGUCUAAUACCGGAUAGGACCACUGCCUGCAUGGGUGGUGGUGGAAAGCUUUUGCGGUGUGGGAUGGGCCCGCGGCCUAUCAGCUUGUUGGUGGGGUGAUGGCCUACCAAGGCGACGACGGGUAGCCGGCCUGAGAGGGUGACCGGCCAGACUGGGACUGAGAUACGGCCCAGACUCCUACGGGAGGCAGCAGUGGGGAAUAUUGCACAAUGGGCGCAAGCCUGAUGCAGCGACGCCGCGUGAGGGAUGACGGCCUUCGGGUUGUAAACCUCUUUCAGCACCGACGAAGCGCAAGUGACGGUAGGUGCAGAAGAAGGACCGGCCAACUACGUGCCAGCCGCCGCGGUAA